GGAGCCGUCUUUUCUAGCCGUCCGCCAUGUCGGGUGGGUAAAAGACCCGAGCUAACAUGGGGUUAGUUCGUUAAACUACAAUAAAGCCUCAUGCAGUUUGCAUCAAGCUUUCGCCUCCAUUCUGUGUUUGGGGUGGCCGUCGUCCUGGGCUAAGAUUCUGGAAGCCUCAGCUUUCUGAGGGUCUAACAAUUACAUGUUGAUUACAUGUUGAAAGAUAGAGACAAUUACAGACAUCCAUAACUGGCCAAAAUACAGAGAACAGCUGAUUGUAGGAUACCCAGCCCAAUUCAUGUAUCUACAAUGCAUGUAUCUACACUGAUGCUCAGGAAGAUCUGAAAAGAGGGAGCAGAAAGACCAAGAAGCAGAGUCUGCUGUGGGAGCUGCACCCAUAAAAUCCCAACAAUGUCCCUAAACAUAGCCUACAUGAUGGCACCAGUUAGCAGGCCAGUGUGGAUGGAAGAAAUCUCACAAAGUUCCACGCCUAGAUGAAGAACUACAGGCAAUCAAUGGCUACUGACAGAUCAGUCUUCUCCAGGGACCAUCCCCUGAUAGGUUAUGCAAUCCCAAGUGACCAACCAUAAAUUGGUAUGAGCAACACUAAAUGGACUUGGGUGUGUGUGUGUGUGUGUGUGUGUGUGUGUGUGUGUGUGUAACAAUAAUAAUUAAAGUAAAAAAGAUCAUGAAAGGGAAUUGGGGAGACAGGAGGAAUCAACAGAUAAAAAGAGUGCAGAAUGGAAAUUAUAUUUAAAAAAAAAAAACAGUACUCAUGUCUGAAAUUCUCAAAAACAGAUUUAAGCCAGACAAAGCAAAAACAAAAAACAAAAAUGAGUUCUAGGUCGGCUUGGACAGCAGAAUGAGCCACUAUUUCAAAUAAAUAAAUAAAUAAAUACAUAUUUUAAAACUAAUCAGAUGAUGGUUUCCACCUGCAGCCCACACAGCAAUUCUCUCCACCUCACUCCCUUCUCAGAAUCAGUGAAAGGCCCUCAGGCCCACUGCUGUCAUUGGAGACUGUUUCACAGAUAAAUCACCAAAUAUGCAAGGGUUAAGAUUGAUGAAUCAAGAUUAG
rnacentral:lncRNA from 1 species